GGCCAUAGCUCAGUGGCAGAACAGCUGCUUUGCAUGCAGAAGGCCCUGGAUUCAAUCCUCAGCAUUGCCA